rnacentral:rRNA from 1 species
UGCCUUAAGAUAGUCAUUAAGGUAAGGCCUGCUCAAUGAAAUUUAAAUAGCUGCAGAUUCUGUACUAAGGUAGCAUAAUCAUUUGAUAUUUAAUUGGUAUCUGGAAUGAAGGGCAUCACGUAUUUAUUAAUUUUUUCAUUUUAACUAUUUAAGUUUAUAUUUUAGUAAAAAAGCUAAAAUAUCCUUUAGGGACGAGAAGACCCUAGAAAGCUUAAAAUCUAUAAAUAUGUGAAGAUUUUGAUUGGGGCAAUCUACUAAGAUCUAAAACUUAUCUUUGAGCCAAAACUUUUGAAUAAAUACAAAGUUACUUUAGGGAUAACAGCAUAAUAAGUAGACAGGAGUUCUUAUUCUCUCUGCUGUUUGUGACCUCGAUGUUGAAUUAAUGUUCCUAAGAGAUGCAGAAGUCUCUUAAGGUAGUCUGUUCGACUAUUAAAUCUUUACG